rnacentral:rRNA from 1 species
UUUAAGGUCUAACCUGCCCAAUGAGGAUUUAAAUGGCCGCAGUAUUUUGACUGUGCAAAGGUAGCAUAAUUAUUAGCUUUUUAAUUGAAAGCUUGUAUGAAGGGUUGGACGAGAUGAAAUCUGUCUUUAUUUAAAUUAAAAUAUAAUUUAACUUUUAAGUAAGAAGGCUUAAAUAUUUAUAAAAGACGAGAAGACCCUAUAGAUCUUUAUUUAAUUAAAAUUUUAAUAAUUUAGGAUUAUUUUAAUUUAAAAUUUUUAUUAAAUUUUAUUGGGGUAAUAUAAAGAUUAAAUAAAUUCUUUUUAUUUAUAACAUUGAUUUAUGAAUAUAUGAUCCAUUAAUAUUGAUUAUAAGAUUAAGUUACCUUAGGGAUAACAGCGUAAUUUUUUUGGAGAGCUCAUAUCGAUAAAAAAGUUUGCGACCUCGAUGUUGGAUUAAAAAUUAGCUUGGGUGCAGAAGCUCAAGAUUUUGGUCUGUUCGACCAUUAAAUUUUUACAUGAUCUGAGUUCAGACCGGCGUGAGCCAGGUCGGUUUCUAUCUUUAUUAAAAUAAAAUGUUUUAGUACGAAAGGACCAGGCAUUUAAUAUAAUUAUAUUUAUUUUUU